rnacentral:rRNA from 1 species
UACGUAGGGGGCAAGCGUUGUCCGGAUUUAUUGGGCGUAAAGAGCGUGUAGGCGGUUCGGUAGGUCCGUUGUGAAAACUCGAGCUCAACCUCGAGACGCCGAUGGAAACCCUCGAACUAGAGUCCGGAAGAGGAGAGUGGAAUUCCUGGUGUAGCGGUGAAAUGACGCAGAUAUCAGGAGGAACACCGAUGGCGAAGGCAGGUCUCUGGGCAUUAACUGACGCUGAGGAGCGAAAGCAUGGGGAGCGAACAGG